UUGCUUUGGCAGCACAUAUACUAAAAUUGGAACGAUACAGAGAAGAUUAGCAUGGCCCCUGCGCAAGGUAUUCUGAUUAUUAUAUGACAUGAAGUACUUUUUU